GUCCGUUUUAUAUACCGAAGUAAUAAAGAAAUACACUAAACUUUAACCUUUAUAGGUACCGGUCUCUUUGAACGCGGAUAAUUUUAUAAAGACUCUUUGAUACCUCGCGCUCUCUCACACUCUCUCUCUCUAUAUAUAUAUAUGUAUACUUCAUUAGGUUUUUUUUUUCUUUUCUUGUUUUCAGAACUUCAUCGUUGGACUACAUUAUAAUGGCAAAGUCCCGUGUAAAUUUCGUUAUUUAUUAUUAUGCAAAAUAUAAAACUAGUUUAAAAGCGCAUCGAACCUAAUUUAAUUCGCGCGACGCUAACAAGUUUUGAGUAUUGGCGAGAGGAAAUAUAAUUCUUUUCCUCGUCGUUAUACACGCACAUAAUCUAUAUUAUUAAACGCGGAUAAAAUGAGACGUUACGGGUUUUAAAAUACUGCUGAUGGACAGAAGUGGUGUGCCUAUGUGCCUACAUAUAAUA